AUAUCCUUCACUGGUCUCCGUCCAGAGCAACGGGAUCUGUUGGUCCAUUAUAUAUACUGUCUAUGCACUUGACCUCCCGGCCGUGUUUGUGCUUUUCGGAGAAUUUUUUUAUGAAGUUAUCCGUCACAUAAUGUGGCUUGCUACAUGUUUAUUUGUGCUAACAGACCCUCCAAGAAGUCAGCGCUCCAGUUAUUUUGUUCAAACAGCCAGCAGCUCUUAGAGUCGACAAUCCGAGCCAUGGACGGAUCCAGAUGAGGAGCAGGCUGGACGCUGAGAGGAACUUCUUCCAUAUGCAAUACUUACACUCCUGGAGUGGUCCUCUACAAUAAUAAAUCAGCCAUGACGGUUGCCAUGCCAAGGUCUUCUGCCACCCCUGGAGGGUUGUUCCUGAGACCUUAUAGCUGGUGAUUUGAGGCGAUCCAGCUGGAAAUGCUCUGCUGCUGAGACUCAGUGCAGGGUCAGGACUAUAGCCAGGCCCUCUGGAGGAGCAGACUGGACAGCUGAACUCUGACUGCCUGGGCCAGACACAACAUUAAUUUUGCCCGUUCCGACGUACAUGGCAAUGUGACUCUGCUCUCACUCUUCACUGUUUAGCAAUAAACUACGGCUGACAAUAACCGUAUAAGCUGUUGUGCUUGUCAAGGUCUUAAGAUAACAUUG